UCUCCCUGCAAGAGAAGGUAGAAAGCACAUCAACAUUACCUCGUGGGUGUAAUUGUUUGUGAGAGUGGAGCAUUUCCAGAGUUAAAGUUUUGUUACUCCACCCCUUCUCUAGCCUAUCCUAGUCCUUUCCCCCAUAAAGGGAAGGGGAGUG